GCCUACGGGGGGCAGCAGUGGGGGAUAUUGCACAAUGGGGGAAACCCUGAUGCAGCGACGCCGCGUGAGUGAAGAAGUAUUUCGGUACGUAAAGCUCUAUCAGCAUGGAAGAAAAUGACAGUACCUGACUAAGAAGCCCCGGCUAAAUACGUGCCAGCAGCCGCGGUAAUACGUAUGGGGCAAGCGUUAUCCGGAUUUACUGGGUGUAAAGGGAGCGUAGGCGGCCUGGCAAGCCUGAUGUGAAAUACCGGGGCCCAACCCCGGGGCUGCAUUGGGAACUGCCAGGCUGGAGUGCCGGAGAGGCA
rnacentral:rRNA from 1 species